rnacentral:rRNA from 1 species
AUGAGGUGUUUGAGCUGGAACUGCCGGGGGCUUGGGAACCCCGACGCAGUUCGAGAUCUUCACACUGUGGUGAAGCAAGAAGGGCCCGAUCUGGUUUUUGUUAUGGAGACAAAGAUCAGAGGCAAACGAGUGGAGGAUUUGCGGCAUACCUUAGGGUUUGCAGGUAGUUUUGCAGUGGACAGUGACGGCCUAAGUGGUGGUGUGGGGCUGUUCUGGUCUAAAGAAGUGGAUGUGGAACUUAAGUCGUAUAGCAAAAGUCAUAUUGAUGUGUUGGUCUGA